AGCUUAGCACAGUAGCAAUAUUGUAGCCAGUGAGGUUUAUCAGAGGCACAAUACUUUCUAAUUGAAAACUUUUCCCAAUACCCUGCCUUAAGGACUUGAAACAAAGAUAAGUCUCUCAGUCCCUUCAUUUGUAAAAGGGGGAUAAACUC
rnacentral:snRNA from 1 species